rnacentral:rRNA from 1 species
AUUGAACGCUGGCGGCAUGCUUUACACAUGCAAGUCGAACGGUAACAGGCCGCCAGGUGCUGACGAGUGGCGAACGGGUGAGUAAUGCAUCGGAACGUGCCCAGUCGUGGGGGAUAACUACUCGAAAGAGUAGCUAAUACCGCAUACGAUCUAUGGAUGAAAGCGGGGGACCGUAAGGCCUCGCGCGAUUGGAUCGGCCGAUGUCAGAUUAGGUAGUUGGUGGGGUAAAGGCUCACCAAGCCAACGAUCUGUACCUGGUCUGAGAGGACGACCAGCCACACUGGGACUGAGACACGGCCCAGACUCCUACGGGAGGCAGCAGUGGGGAAUUUUGGACAAUGGGCGAAAGCCUGAUCCAGCAAUGCCGCGUGCAGGAAGAAGGACUUCGGGUUGUAAACUGCUUUUGUACGGAACGAAACGGCUCUGGUUAAUACCCGGGGCUAAUGACGGUACCGUAAGAAUAAGCACCGGCUAACUACGUG